UGGGGAAUAUUGCACAAUGGGCGAAAGCCUGAUGCAGCAACGCCGCGUGAGUGAUGAAGGCCUUCGGGUUGUAAAACUCUGUCUUUGGGGACGAUAAUGACGGUACCCAAGGAGGAAGCCACGGCUAACUACGUGCCAGCAGCCGCGGUAAUACGUAGGUGGCAAGCGUUGUCCGGAAUUACUGGGCGUAAAGGAUGUGUAGGCGGAUAUUUAAGUGAGAUGUGAAAUCCCCGGGCUUAACCUGGGGGCUGCAUUUCAAACUGGGUAUCUAGAGUGCAGGAGAGGAAAGCGGAAUUCCUAGUGUAGCGGUGAAAUGCGUAGAUAUUAGGAAGAACAUCAGUGGCGAAGGCGGCUUUCUGGACUGUAACUGACGCUGAGACAUGAAAGCGUGGGGAGCAAACAGG
rnacentral:rRNA from 1 species